rnacentral:tRNA from 1 species
GCCGACGUAGCUCAGUUGGUUAGAGCACUAGAUUGUGGAUCUAGGGGUCCCCUGUUCGAGUCAGGGCGUCGGUACCA